rnacentral:rRNA from 1 species
AACGCUGGGCGGCGUGCCUAAUACAUGCAAGUCGAGCGGACAGAUGGGAGCUUGCUCCCUGAUGUCAGCGGCGGACGGGUGAGUAACACGUGGGUAACCUGCCUGUAAGACUGGGAUAACUCCGGGAAACCGGGGCUAAUACCGGAUGCUUGAUUGAACCGCAUGGUUCAAUUAUAAAAGGUGGCUUUUAGCUACCACUUACAGAUGGACCCGCGGCGCAUUAGCUAGUUGGUGAGGUAACGGCUCACCAAGGCAACGAUGCGUAGCCGACCUGAGAGGGUGAUCGGCCACACUGGGACUGAGACACGGCCCAGACUCCUACGGGAGGCAGCAGUAGGGAAUCUUCCGCAAUGGACGAAAGUCUGACGGAGCAACGCCGCGUGAGUGAUGAAGGUUUUCGGAUCGUAAAACUCUGUUGUUAGGGAAGAACAAGUACCGUUCGAAUAGGGCGGUACCUUGACGGUACCUAACCAGAAAGCCACGGCUAACUACGUGCCAGCAGCCGCGGUAAUACGUAGGUGGCAAGCGUUGUCCGGAAUUAUUGGGCGUAAAGCGCGCGCAGGCGGUUUCUUAAGUCUGAUGUGAAAGCCCCCGGCUCAACCCGGGGAGGGUCAUUGGAAACUGGGGAACUUGAGUGCAGAAGAGGAGAGUG